rnacentral:rRNA from 1 species
UACAGAGGAUCCCAAGCGUUGGUUCGGAUUCACUGGGCGUAAAGGGUGCGGUAGGUGGUGAGGUAAGUUUGAUGUGAAAUCUCCGGGUCUCAACCCGGAAAUGGCAUUGAAUACUAUCUUGCUAGAAGGAGUGGAGGGGGGACGUUGGAAUAGCUUGGUGUAGCAGUGAAAUGACGUAGAUAUCAAGUGGAACACCAGUGGCGAAGGCGAGUCCCUGGGACACUUCCUGACACUGAGGCACGAAAAGCCGUAGGG